AGAGUUUGAUCCUGGCUCAGAACGAACGCUGGCGGCGUGCUUAACACAUGCAAGUCGAACGCGAAAGGGACUUCGGUCCCGAGUAGAGUGGCGCACGGGUGAGUAACGCGUAAGUAACCUACCCCUGUAUCUGGAAUAACCCACCGAAAGGUGAGCUAAUACCGGAUACGUUUAUCUUGAUGCGAAUGAUGAUAAAGAAAGGUGGCCUCUUCAUGAAAGCUACCGUACAGGGACGAGCUUGCGUACCAUUAGCUGGUUGGUAGGGUAAUGGCCUACCAAGGCGACGAUGGUUAGCGGGUCCGAGAGGAUGAUCCGCCACACUGGAACUGAAACACGGACCAGACUCCUACGGGAGGCAGCAGUGAGGAAUAUUGCGCAAUGGGGGCAACCCUGACGCAGCGACGCCGCGUGGACGAUGAAGGCCCUUGGGUCGUAAAAUCCUGUCAGAUGGAAAGAAAUGUACAGGUGUUAAUAUCGCCUGUAUUUGACGGUACCAUCAAAGGAAGCACCGGCUAACUCCGUGCCAGCAGCCGCGGUAAUACGGAGGGUGCGAGCGUUGUUCGGAAUUACUGGGCGUAAAGCGCGCGUAGGCGGUUUGCUAAGUCAGAUGUGAAAGGCCCUCGCUUACCNGGGGACGUGCAUUU
rnacentral:rRNA from 1 species